CAACUCUGCUCUGCUUUCCCUUCCCCUGGGCAUGGUGAGCCUUCCCCCGGGGCCAUGCUGGAACUGCUGCCAUUCCCUGCUGUCUCCUCUAUCCUUCCUAUAGUCUUCAGGCUCCUUAGCAAGAGCUGCAGUGGAUGAUACCAAGUGAGGCCCUAAGAGGUGGAGGACCAGAGGAUGGGAUUCCCCUUGUGUUGCUGUGGAAACCGUUGGAAGGGAAGCAGCAAAACCAGGGCUGGCAGGGAGUGCUGGGCGGUGUGCGGGGCGGCUGCAGAGGCAGGGCUGUGCUGACAUCACGUGGGGAGGCGGCGUGGGGAAGGGAGAGCAAGGGAGGCUGCAGAGGGAAGAGAGCUGCAUCCGACUGGGCUCCAGGCAAGCGCCCGUCGGGACGCGGUGUCCGGCGCCCGUCGCUCCCGGAUCGCCCGCAGCUCGUUCAUACCGUCGCCUGGCAACCGCCGCCCCGUCGCCAUGGGCUCCGAGCGGGACUCCGAAUCGCCGCGCUCCUCCUCCAUCCACUCGGCCGCCGCCAAGUGCCCGAAGCCCGGCCGCCGCCGCCGCCUCUCCUUCCAGAGCGUCUUCUCCGCCGCCGCCGCCUCCGCCG
ensembl:lncRNA